GCCAUCAGUAUGACCAGACCGGACUCCAUGAAUGGCUGGGUGAAAUCUACGAUUUUGGACCGGUUCGUCACUAUGGUGAUGUCUCCGAUCGCGGCAUCAAACUCCUGCAUCAAACUCCGUCGGUAAUUAAUUAAUUCAUUCAUUCAUUUUUCUCUUUAAUUCGUCAUCCAUUCUUUAAUUCCAUCACUUACCCCUUUUUCCACCAUUCUCACAAGUUCUGUGUAACUUGGAUUUCUCCGACCGUCUCCGAAAGGGACGAAGUGGUGAGGAACGGCGUAGGAAAGCAAGCUCACCGAAGCAACGAAAACAUCAACGCAGAAUCCGAUCAUGGUAUCACUGUCUGACGAUUUUGAUACAAACUCUUGGUAAGUCGCCCGAUAGGGAAUCCCAAUUCUCAUCUGACGCCCUUUCUGCGGGACCACCCAUCCACGAGGUUGGAUCGUAGUCUCUCCGGGCCAUAUCACAGUUUUAAGUCUUCCACUCUUCCGUCUCUUUAUCACAGAAUGGACAAAGGGUGUGGAGUAAAGCUUUUCCGGUGGUUCCACGGAGAUGCCGGAGUGAUUUGACCAAUAACCAAUCUUCCGGUAUCCUGUUCCAACAACAUUGAUGAUGUCAUACGCCGGACGGACAAGUUGUCGGUCGGAAUCGAAU
rnacentral:lncRNA from 1 species